GGCGUAUUAGCUAGUUGGUGAGGUAACGGCUCACCAAGGCAAUGAUACGUAGCCGAACUGAGAGGUUGAUCGGCCACAUUGGGACUGAGACACGGCCCAAACUCCUACGGGAGGCAGCAGUAGGGAAUCUUCCACAAUGGACGCAAGUCUGAUGGAGCAACGCCGCGUGAGUGAAGAAGGCUUUCGGGUCGUAAAACUCUGUUGUUGGAGAAGAAUGGUCGGCAGAGUAACUGUUGUCGGCGUGACGGUAUCCAACCAGAAAGCCACGGCUAACUACGUGCCAGCAGCCGCGGUAAUACGUAGGUGGCAAGCGUUAUCCGGAUUUAUUGGGCGUAAAGCGAGCGCAGGCGGUUUUUUAAGUCUGAUGUGAAAGCCCUCGGCUUAACCGAGGAAGUGCAUCGGAAACUGGGAAACUUGAGUGCAGAAGAGGACAGUGGACUCCAUGUGUAGCGGUGAAAUGCGUAGAUAUAUGGAAGAACACCAGUGGCGAAGGCGGCUGUCUGGUCU
rnacentral:rRNA from 1 species